UACGUAGGUGGCAAGCGUUGUCCGGAUUUACUGGGCGUAAAGGGCGUGCAGGCGGUCUGUUAAGUUCAGGGUGAAAGCUCCCGGCUCAACUGGGAGAGGUCCUUGGAUACUGGCAGACUUGAGGGAGGUAGAGGAGAGUGGAAUUCCCGGUGUAGUGGUGAUAUGCGUAGAUAUCGGGAGGAACACCAGUGGCGAAGGCGGGUUGCUGGGCCGACACUGACGCUGAGGCGCGAAAGCCAGGGGAGCGAACGGG
rnacentral:rRNA from 1 species